rnacentral:rRNA from 1 species
UGACCGCUGGCGGCGUGCCUAAUACAUGCAAGUCGAGCGAACAGACGCGGAGCUUGCUCCUCUGACGUUAGCGGCGGACGGGUGAGUAACACGUGGAUAACCUACCUAUAAGACUGGGAUAACUUCGGGAAACCGGAGCUAAUACCGGAUAAUAUAUUGAACCGCAUGGUUCCAUAGUGAAAGACGGUUUUGCUGUCACUUAUAGAUGGAUCCGCGCCGCAUUAGCUAGUUGGUAAGGUAACGGCUUACCAAGGCAACGAUGCGUAGCCGACCUGAGAGGGUGAUCGGCCACACUGGAACUGAGACACGGUCCAGACUCCUACGGGAGGCAGCAGUAGGGAAUCUUCCGCAAUGGGCGAAAGCUUGACGGAGCAACGCCGCGUGAGUGAUGAAGGUCUUCGGAUCGUAAAACUCUGUUAUUAGGGAAGAACAAAUGUGUAAGUAACUAUGCACGUCUUGACGGUACCUAAUCAGAAAGCCACGGCUAACUACGUG